rnacentral:misc_RNA from 1 species
AAUCAUAUUAGGAGAUCUAGAAAUUUUCUCUUUAAGGAUUUUGCGACGCUUCUUUGAACAUGAAUGACAAAACCAAUCAUCAACCGGUAUUCUUUUUACACGAGGGUUGCAGCAAGAUAGAUGAAAUGCCUCUUCANAUCACAAAUUAUCAUCUUAAGAGGAGACUCUGGAUGAGCACAAAUUUUGCAAGACCGAGAAUUGCUGCUAGCACUACUAUCACCAACAUCUUCAGCAGAGGCAUGAGUCCUGCUAGGCCAAACUCCUUCAAGCACACCCUGGCUUCUAAUUAUAGAGACACAUAAAUCCUUUUCUGAUAAAUCUUCCCCGAUGACCUCUACUACCUUUACACUGGAUGAGGAGCACUCACCAGUAUUGUCCACUUCAGUCUGCAUAGAAGCUGAAACAAGUUCCAUAUCAGACUUUGAUGAUGAGCAACUGUCAUUUAUACUGUCAACCUCAAUGAUUUUCUGCCCACUAUUAUUGGAUGAUUCAUCAGAACCCUGUUCUUCUGCCAGUGAACAUCCAUUAAUAGGUAUGACAGUAGCUCCAAUAGCAUUCUCACCUUGAGAAACUAUUUGUCGCUCCUUAACUGCAAUAGAAGGAGCAUCAGAACUGACAACAGAGAGACACUCAUCUCCACUUCUCUUUGUGCUUUCACGGACCUGUGCCGAGAAAAUGGCAACAGAGUUUCCUCGUUGCUUCCUUCUUCUAUAUACAAAAUUAGGUGCAGAACUUUCAGACAUUGUACCGAUAGUUGAUUGGUAAGGACUCGUAGUAAAAUUUAACAGGCACGAAUGAUCAGCGCUCUUUUUUCCCUCAGUGAAUGGUGCAAUUUUUGUGGAACCAAUAUGAGAGCAUUCAUCGCAUUUUAGACACAUCUCAAAAAAGUCUGCAAUAACAUGUAGGAUGUUACCAAAUUGCUGAACUCCCUUUCUGAUUCAAUUCAUAUAAACAUAAAAGAAAAAGAUCCCAUCCGCUUACUGGACAGAAAAGAAACCGUUUAUCUUUU